GCUCAGAGAGGGGUCAAUGUCCUAUCAGCUAGUUGGUAGGGUAAAGGCCCACCAAGGCGAAGACGGGUAGCCGGCCUGAGAGGGUGGUCGGCCACAUUGGGACUGAGACACUGCCCAGACUCCUACGGGAGGCUGCAGUCGAGAAUCUUUCGCAAUGCCCGAAAGGGUGACGAAGCGACGCCGCGUGUGGGAAGAAGGCCUUCGGGUUGUAAACCACUGUCGGGAGUUAAGAAGUGUAAGGGUGUUAAGAGCAUCCUUGCUUGACGUUAGCUCCGGAGGAAGCCACGGCUAACUCUGUGCCAGCAGCCGCGGUAAUACAGAGGUGGCAAGCGUUGUUCGGAAUUAUUGGGCGUAAAGAGCACGUAGGCGGCCCUGCAAGUCAGCUGUGAAACCCUUCUGCUCAACGGAAGAACGGCAGUUGAUACUACAGGGCUCGAGUGCGGGAGGG
rnacentral:rRNA from 1 species